rnacentral:rRNA from 1 species
ACGCCUAACACAUGCAAGUCGAACGCAGUAGCAAUACUGAGUGGCAAACGGGUGAGUAUAAUGUGGGAAUCUGCCUUUUGGUUCGGAAUAACACGGGGAAACUUGUGCUAAUACCGGAUAAGCCUUUACAGGGAAAGUUUUAAUGCCAAAAGAUGAGCCCGCACUUGAUUAGCUAGUUGGUGAGGUAAUUGCUCACCAAGGCAACGAUCAAUAGCUGUUCUUAGAGGAAGACCAGCCACAUUGGGACUGAGACACGGCCCAGACUCCUACGGGAGGCAGCAGUGGGGAAUCUUGCACAAUGGGGGAAACCCUGAUGCAGCGAUGCCGCGUGAGUGAAGAAGGCCUUUGGGUUGUAAAACUCUUUCGUCGGGGAAGAAAAUGACUGUACCCGAAUAAGAAGGUCCGGCUAACUUCGUGCCAGCAGCCGCGGUAAUACGAAGGGACCUAGCGUAGUUCGGAAUUACUGGGCUUAAAGAGCUCGUAGGUGGUUAAAAAAGUUGAUUGUGAAAUCCCAAGGCUUAACCUUGGAACUGCAAUCAAAACUUUUUAGCUAGAGUAUGAUAGAGGAAAGUGGAAUUUCUAGUGUAGAGGUGAAAUUCGUAGAUAUUAGAAAGAACACCAAAUGCGAAGGCAACUUUCUGGAUCAUUACUGACACUGAGGAGCGAAAGCAUGGGUAGCGAAGAGGAUUAGAUACCCUCGUAGUCCAUGCUGUAAACGAUGUGUGCUAGACGUUGGAAGCAUAGCUUUCAGUGUCGCAGCGAAAGCAUUAAGCACACCGCCUGGGGAGUAC